rnacentral:ncRNA from 17 species
CCCCACAUGUAUGCUCAUGGCUGCUGCCGCCGCAGGGGAAUCCGGUGGGAAUCCGGAACUGUCCCGCAACGGUGUGACGUACGCCGAACGGUGUAUCCGCGAGUCCGAAGACCUGCCGGCAGUACCCCCGGAUCG